rnacentral:rRNA from 1 species
AUUGAACGCUGGCGGCAGGCCUAACACAUGCAAGUCGAGCGAGCGGCGGACGGGUGAGUAAUGUCUGGGAAACUGCCCGAUGGUGGGGGAUAACUACUGGAAACGGUAGCUAAUACCGCAUACCAUCAGAUGUGAACAGAUGGGGUUAGCUAGUAGGUGGGGUAACGGCUCACCUAGGCGAGGAGCCCUAGAUGGUCUGAGAGGAUGAGCAGCCACACGGGAACUGAGACACGGUGCAGACUCCGACGGGAGGCAGCAGUGGGGAAGAGUGCACAAUGGGCGCAAGCCGGAUGCAGCCAUGCCGCGUGUGGGAAGAAGGCCUUCGGGUUGUAAAGCACUUUCAGCGGGGAGGCGUUACCCGCAGAAGAAGCACCGGCUAACUCCGUGCCAGCAGCCGCGGUAAUAC